CGGCACUCCAGAUGUUUUGGACCACACCUCCCAUGAUGCCUUGCCAGCAUUAUGGGGGAUGUAGUCCACAACAUCUGGAGUGUCG
rnacentral:miRNA from 1 species